rnacentral:rRNA from 1 species
AUACAGAGGGUGCGAGCGUUAAUCGGAUUUACUGGGCGUAAAGCGUGCGUAGGCGGCUUCUUAAGUCGGAUGUGAAAUCCCUGAGCUUAACUUAGGAAUUGCAUUCGAUACUGGGAAGCUAGAGUAUGGGAGAGGAUGGUAGAAUUCCAGGUGUAGCGGUGAAAUGCGUAGAGAUCUGGAGGAAUACCGAUGGCGAAGGCAGCCAUCUGGCCUAAUACUGACGCUGAGGUACGAAAGCAUGGGGAGCAAACAGGAUUAGAAACCCUAGUAGUCC